rnacentral:rRNA from 1 species
GACGAACGCUGGCGGCGUGCUUAACACAUGCAAGUCGAACGGUGAAGCGCCUUCCUUUUUGGUGGGUGUGGAUGAGUGGCGAACGGGUGAGUAACACGUGAGUAACCUGCCCCCUUCUUCUGGAUAACCGCAUGAAAGUGUGGCUAAUACGGGAUACUCUGGGUCUGUCGCAUGAUGGGUCUGGGAAAGAUAUUGUUUCGGUGGGGGAUGGGCUCGCGGCCUAUCAGCUUGUUGGUGGGGUGAUGGCCUACCAAGGCGGUGACGGGUAGCCGGCCUGAGAGGGUGGACGGUCACACUGGGACUGAGACACGGCCCAGACUCCUACGGGAGGCAGCAGUGGGGAAUAUUGCACAAUGGGCGCAAGCCUGAUGCAGCGACGCCGCGUGAGGGAUGGAGGCCUUCGGGUUGUGAACCUCUUUCGCCAGUGAAGCAGGCCUGCCUCGUUUGUGGGUGGGUUGACGGUAGCUGGAUAAGAAGCGCCGGCUAACUACGUG